CCGUUCGGGCGGCUCUAAACAGUCCAUCAAGCCCGAAGCGUUCCGCCCGAAAUGGGCGGAGGUUGG
rnacentral:ribozyme from 1 species